UUUGACCUUUGACUGGGUCAAAAUCGAAUACCCGUUUUCAUUUGAAGCUCCAUGACCGAUCGGGCAAGUGGAUCCAUAUAUAUAUAUAUAAAAUAAAAAAAUAAAAAUAAAAAAAAAUAAAAAAAGAUUAGGGCUUUUAGCAUCCCGUCCUCGUCAUUCGCGGGUCGAACGGGCAAGGAUGGCAGACGAACGAAGACGAAGGAAUGAAUCGCGAACAGUUGACGAAGGACAGUGACGAAUCGGAGAGACAUUUGAAUCGGAAACAGCAGUCACUCUUAGGCGAUCCCCAAUCGGCUUCCAAGCCUUGGUCAAUGGCAUCGGAGGUUUGAUUGAUUGCGAAGGGAGUGUCUCCGUGGGUUUGACGAGACGAAGAAAGGAGAUGGGGAAGCAACGAGGCUGCUUUCGUCCUCGUCUGUCCUUGAGAUGCGAAAGAGGGAAGGGUCGAAUGGGGCAAGGCAGUCAGUGACGGCGGGGUGUUUGGUCGGUUUGCUUGACGGAAAAAGAAGUGGAGGGUGUGAGGGUUGGUUCGUCGGUCUCAGUGGAUGUAGUGUCGAGGUGCGAGGCCAGCUGCCUCAAUGGAGCAAUCUUCGGUUCUUUGCUUGAUCGAGGAAGGAAAAACGAAGGCAUCAGGGGAAUUUAGGUGGUGAUUCUUCCACAUGAAAUGAACGGGAUCAGCAACCCAUUGGAUCGAUCAUUGUACAAAAAUGGGUGUACAAUGAUCUCAUGGAGUGUUUGGUUGCUUCAUUUGGCAGAAAAGAGAAGGAAGAAAGAAGGGAGACCUUCUUUUCUUCUCUUUGCUGGAAUACAGGAGAAUUGGUCUUGUGUUCUUGACUGGAAUCGAUGCAGAAUGAAAGGAAAUAUGGAGGUGUUUGGGUGUUGAUGUGAAAGCAGUGGGGGAAAGAAGAAGGAUUGAAAGAGGAAUCCAUUGAAGGACAAACAGGAGAAACAUAAAUCUUUACGUGUGGUUUUAUUUAAUUUGAGUUUGGUUGAGUUUGAUUGUUCUCCAAGGUUGAAGAAAAAGUGCAGGAAAACUGGAUGAUAACGCAUUGGUGAUCCAUUGACAGUUUUGAGAAGGAAACACACGUUUCCUUUGUGUGUAAUUGACUCUUUCCUUUGUGUGUUGUAUUGUAGAAAUAUAAUUCUACACAAUUAGAUUUA